rnacentral:tRNA from 1 species
AGGAUUAUAGUUAAAAUUAUAAUAAAUAACAUUUUAAUUGCAAUAAAAAAUUAUUUACUUUAAUCUUA